UCGGGAAUUUUGUGCAAUGGGCGAAAGCCUGACACAGCAACGCCGCGUGAAGGAUGAAGUCCCUCGGGAUGUAAACUUCGUAAGAAUAGGAAGAAUAAAUGACGGUACUAUUUGUAAGGUCCGGCUAACUACGUGCCAGCAGCCGCGGUAAUACGUAGGGACCAAGCGUUGUUCGGAUUUACUGGGCGUAAAGGGUGCGUAGGCGGCAUAUCAAGUCACUUGUGAAAUCUCCGGGCUUAACUCGGAACUGCCAAGUGAUACUGAUGUGCUAGAGUGCAGAAAGGGCAACUGGAAUUCUUGGUGUAGCGGUGAAAUGCGUAGAUAUCAAGAGGAACACCUGAGGCGAAGGCGAGUUGCUAGGCUGACACUGACGCUGAGACGCGAAAGCGUGGGGAGCAAACAGGAUUAGAUACCCCAGUAGUCCCUGAGCGGGCUGGCAAGGCGCAU
rnacentral:rRNA from 1 species